UGGGGAAUAUUGGACAAUGGGCGCAAGCCUGAUCCAGCCAUGCCGCGUGAGUGACGAAGGCCCUAGGGUUGUAAAGCUCUUUCAGUGGUGACGAUGAUGACGGUAGCCACAGAAGAAGCCCCGGCUAACUCCGUGCCAGCAGCCGCGGUAAUACGGAGGGGGCAAGCGUUGUUCGGAAUUACUGGGCGUAAAGGGCGCGUAGGCGGUCUGUUGCGUCAGGUGUGAAAGCCCCGGGCUCAACCUGGGAACUGCCUUUAAAACUGAUACUCUAGAGUCCGGAAGAGGGUCGCGGAAUUCCCAGUGUAGAGGUGAAAUUCGUAGAUAUUGGGAAGAACACCGGUGGCGAAGGCGGCGACCUGGUCCGGUACUGACGCUGAGGCGCGAAAGCGUGGGGAGCAAACAGGAUUAGAUACCCCCGUAGUCC
rnacentral:rRNA from 1 species